UUUAUUUAAAGUCUUAAGAAAACUAUUUUUUAUAUUAUUAUAUUUAGUACAUUUAAUUGAACAAUUAAAAUUGGCUAUAGUGGAUGAGUACUGUCAAGGAACAUUGAAAUAGCAUAUAAGGGUUAUAUCUUAAAAAGUAAAAUUUAAAACUUGUACCUUGUGUAUUAGGGAAAAUCAAAUUUCAGGAUUUAUAAGUCGGGUUCUCGGUAGAAGGGUGUCUAAUUGUAAUUCGUUAGUUUAUGUAGUAAAAUAAUAUUAAAGGUACAAUUAGUAAUGAAAUGUUAGUCGAAUCUUUAUAUCUAGUUAUCUUUGAAAUAAAUUCAAUUUAGGUUAUUUUUGCAAUUAAAAAUGAUCAAAGUGAAGGAGGGAAGAGCUUCUUUCACAAUAAAAACUUUAAAGUAAUAUAAUAAAAGGUAAGUUAUAAGUAAGCUUAGGGGUAGCUAGCUUUAUAAGGUGUUUUAACCAAUAAUUAUUAAAAGUUUCAUAUUCUUAGUAGUAGGGGAUUAAAGUGGUUAAUAAAAGUUCACUUGAAGUAAUGAUUUUAUUAGUAGAUUUUUAAUAUAGGAAAAAAAUAUUUAAAUAUGUAUUAAUUUUUAAUAUAUUAUAUUAUUUUAUUAAGGAAUUCGGCAAAUAAUAAAGCUUCUGCCUGUUUAUCAAAAACAUGUCCUAUUGGGGUUAUAAUAGGUCUGACCUGCCCACUGAAUUUUAAAGGGCCGCGGUAUUUUGACCGUGCGAAGGUAGCAUAAUCAUUAGUCUUUUAAUUGGAGGCUUGUAUGAAUGGUUGGACAAGAAGAAAGCUGUCUUUAUGAAAAAUAUUGAACUUAACAUUUGAGUAAAAAGGCUUAAAUAGAUUAGGGGGACGAUAAGACCCUAUAAAGCUUUAUAUUGCGUUGUAUUUUUUAAGAAAGUGGUAAAAAUUAAACUAUGAGACACAAUAUUACGUUGGGGCGACGAAGGUAGAAAGAAGUAUCUGCUUUACAUUAAUAACGGAGAUUUUCGGAUGGUUAAUUGAUCCUAGUUAAAGAUUAAAAGUUUAAGUUACUUUAGGGAUAACAGCGUUAUUUUUUUUGAGAGUCCAUAUCGAGAAAAAAGAUUGCGACCUCGAUGUUGAAUUAAGUUGUCUAUCUAUGUGCAGAAGCUAUAUAAGACGGUCUGUUCGACCUUUAAAAACUUACAUGAUUUGAGUUCAGACCGGCGUGAGCCAGGUUGGUUUCUAUCUCUUAAUUAAGUAAAUAAUUUUUUUAGUACGAAAGGAUUGAAAAGUUUAAAUAGUUUAUGGUUGAAAAUAAAAUGUUAGCCCAUUAAGUGAGUUGCUAAUAAAU
rnacentral:rRNA from 1 species